rnacentral:rRNA from 1 species
CGCUAGCGGCAGGCUUAACACAUGCAAGUCGAGGGGCAUCGGGAGUAGCAAUACUGCCGGCGACCGGCGCAAGGGUGCGUAACGCGUGAGCAACAUGCCCGUAUCAGGGGGAUAAUCCAUGGAAACGUGGUCUAAUACCCCAUAGUAAUUAUGUAAGGCAUCUUAUAUAAUUUAAAGCUUUGGUGGAUACGGAUUGGCUCGCGUGACAUUAGCUGGAUGGUAAGGUAACGGCUUACCAUGGCUACGAUGUCUAGGGGUUCUGAGAGGAAGGUCCCCCACACUGGAACUGAGACACGGUCCAGACUCCUACGGGAGGCAGCAGUGAGGAAUAUUGGACAAUGGAUGGAAAUCUGAUCCAGCCAUGCCGCGUUGCAGGAAGACGGCCCUAUGGGUUGUAAACUGCUUUUGUAUGGGAGCAAUAAGGGCUACGUGUAGUCCGAUGAGAGUACCAUACGAAUAAGCACCGGCUAACUCCGUGCCAGCCGCCGC